rnacentral:rRNA from 1 species
UACGUAGGGUGCAAGCGUUAAUCGGAAUUACUGGGCGUAAAGCGUGCGCAGGCGGUUUUCCAAGACAGAUGUGAAAUCCCCGGGCUCAACCUGGGAAUGGCAUUUGUGACUGCAUCGCUGGAGUGCGGCAGAGGGGGAUGGAAUUCCGCGUGUAGCAGUGAAAUGCGUAGAUAUGCGGAGGAACACCGAUGGCGAAGGCAAUCCCCUGGGCCUGCACUGACGCUCAUGCACGAAAGCGUGGGGAGCAAACAGG